UUGUUACUCUCCCUAUAAAUUUAUCACGAAGGCAAUACAAUUGUUGCAACUUCUUUUUCAUAAUCGUAGUUUUUCUUCAUUGAUCAUAAUGGGUGGAAAGAGUUCUCCAACGAUGUUUGUUUGGUUCUAGCCUUCUUACUUUAUGCAUCUGCUCUACAACUUAUGGCAAAUGAGGAGGUCAAGUCAACUGAGUUGAAUGUUUUACAACUUCCGGUAUCAAAAGACCUUGACGCCGAAAACGUUGAUGAAUUUGUUCAAUAGGUUGCCACUCGUUAUGGUAUGCCAGUUGGUCAACUUAUUUUUUCCCGUACUAUAUUACAUUAAUUAUAUUUUUUUAAGUAUACAUUUCUCCUUUAUAGGACACAACAAGCAAAUUGUUCUUUAAUCAAUUAGACAUUAAUAUAAUAGCUACCAUAAUACUAAUUAGGUGGUCAUUCGGUACUUCGGUUCGAUAUUUAAGAAUUUCGAUUCGGCAUUUCGGUAUUCGGUUUAUCAAUUGUGUAUAUCAAAUACCGUACCAAAAUAUUUCGGUACGGUUCGAUAUUUCUUA